AUUACUUUAUCAUAAAAGUGUUUAAAUUUAGAAUUUAAUUAUAUGAAUAAAAAAUUCAUAAGUAAUA
rnacentral:tRNA from 1 species